rnacentral:rRNA from 1 species
GAUGAACGCUGGCGGCGUGCCUAAUACAUGCAAGUCGAGCGAACAGAUAAGGAGCUUGCUCCUUUGACGUUAGCGGCGGACGGGUGAGUAACACGUGGGUAACCUACCUAUAAGACUGGGAUAACCUCGGGAAACCGGAGCUAAUACCGGAUAACAUUUGGAACCGCAUGGUUCUAAAGUGAAAGAUGGUUUUGCUAUCACUUAUAGAUGGACCCGCGCCGUAUUAGCUAGUUGGUAAGGUAACGGCUUACCAAGGCAACGAUACGUAGCCGACCUGAGAGGGUGAUCGGCCACCCUGGAACUGGGACACGGUCCAGGCUCCUGCGGGAGGGAGCAGUAGGGAAUCUUCCGCAAUGGGCGAAAGCCUGACGGAGCGACGCCGCGUGAGUGAUGAAGGGUUUCGGCGCGUGAAAAUCUGUUAUUAGGGAAGAACAAAUGUGUAAGUAACUGUGCACGUCUUGACGGUACCUAAUCAGAAAGCCACGGCUAACUACGUG